UAGUUGCUUCUCAGUUGAGAUGUGGGAACAAAUCUGUCUGUUGUUAUAUUUAAAAAGGGUUUCUCGGUGGAUAUUGACCAGUUGCAACCAUUCAAUUAAAAUAUGUAGCUCGUCAUUGGAUUGUGAUUCUUUUUGCCCUCGUUGUUUCAUUGUGGUCGUUUAUGCAAUUAUACUUAUUUUUUUGUCCUUUGUGUCUUUUUUCAGCAUUACGUUGAAACACGUGGAAAACGGUCACAUGUUGACACCAUGAGGGCCAGGAGCAACUGCAUUUGAAUUCCAGGUGAACAGCCAAUGCGGUAAAAGGCUGCUACAGCAACAUGAGCAGGGUUGCAUGAAACCUGGUAUGGAGCUUUAAACUUUAAAUAUGUCUGAGUAAAGAAAAUCAUGCCUUAAAGUGUUACCUGUUCAUUGCCGGUCAGAUGAAUGCGGUGUCAAAUAGGGCAGACAUUAACUCACAAGAUGGCUGCUGAAAGGCGUUUACAUCUAUGCCUUUCGGAGUUUCAUUUUAUGGACAUUUACAUUGCUAAUACACUGAUCAUGUAUAAUUCAUAAGUCUCUUUUCAUAAAUGCAAAGCGCAAUGCUAAUCAUUUCAAUCCUGAUUAUUAUAAAGGGUCUACAUUCUCCUUUCUAGUGGAGGUAAAUUAUCCAGCAUUCAAGGACUAGUGUGUGAGAUGCUGUAUUCUGCA